rnacentral:rRNA from 1 species
GACGAACGCUGGCGGCGUGCCUAACACAUGCAAGUCGAACGGACAGGCCCUGCUCUUGCGGGGUGCUCGAGUGGCGAACGGGUGAGUAACACGCGAGUAACCUGCCCUCGACUUUGGGAUAACUUCAGGAGACUGGGGCUAAUACCGGAUAGGAGCUCCUGCUGCAUGUUGGGGGUUGGUAAGAUUCGGCGGUUGGUGAUGGUCUCGCGGCUUAUCAGCUUGUUGGUGGGGUAGUGGCUUACAAAGGCUCUGACGGGUAGCCGGCCUGAGAGGGUGACCGGCGACAAUGGUACUGCGAGACGGACCAGAAUCCUACGGGAGGCAGCAGUGGAGAGUAUGACGCAGUGGGCGGAAGCCUGAGGCAGCGGCGCCGCGUGCGGGAUGACGGGCUUCUAGGGGAGAACCGCUUUCGCCGGUGACGGAGCGUGAGUGACGGUAAUUAGUAAGGAAGCACCGGCUAACUACGUG